rnacentral:rRNA from 1 species
GAUGAACGCUGGCGGCGUGCUUAACACAUGCAAGUCGAACGGAAAGGCCCAAGCUUGCUUGUGUGCUCGAGUGGCGAACUGGUGAGUAACACGUGGGUAAUCUGCCCUGCACUUUGGUAUAAGCCUAGGAAACUGGGUCUAAUACCGUAUAGGACCAUCGCUUCGUGUCGGUGGUGGAAAUCUUUUCGCUUUGGGAUGAGUUGGCGGCCUAUCAGCUUGUUGGUGGGGGAAUGGCCUACCAACGCGUCAGCGGGUAGACGGACUGUGGUGGUGUACGGCGACAUUGGGACUGAGAUACGGCACAGACGCCGACGAGAGGCAGCAGGGGGGAAGCCUGCACAAUGGGCGCAGGCCUGAUGAAGAGAGGCCGCGUGGGGGAGGACGGUCUUGGGGUUGUAAACUCCCUGCGCCAAGGAAGAAGCGUUUUGUGACGGUACUUGGAGAAGAAGCACCGGCUAACUACGUG